GGCAGACGGGAGAGUAACACGUUGAUAAUUGCCCCGAAGUCAGGAAUAAGCCUUAGAAAUAGGGUCUAAUGCCGGAUUGUCCCGCAAGGGUAAAGCAGCAAUGCGCUUUGGGAGAUAUCUGCGGCCUAUCAGUUUGUUGGUAAGGUAACGGCUUACCAAGACUAUGACGGGUAGCUGGUCUGAGAGGACGAUCAGCCUCAAUGGAACUGAGAUACGGUCCAUACUCC
rnacentral:rRNA from 1 species